GUGGGGAAUAUUGGACAAUGGGCGAAAGCCUGAUCCAGCCAUGCCGCGUGUGUGAAGAAGGUCUUCGGGUUGUAAAGCACUUUAAGUUGGGAGGAAGGGCAGUAAGUUAAUACCUUGCUGUUUUGACGUUACCGACAGAAUAAGCACCGGCUAACUUCGUGCCAGCAGCCGCGGUAAUACGAAGGGUGCAAGCGUUAAUCGGAAUUACUGGGCGUAAAGCGCGCGUAGGUGGUUUUGUAAGUUGGAGGUGAAAUCCCCGGGCUCAACCUGGGAACUGCAUCCAAAACUGCAUGACUAGAGUACGGUAGAGGGUAGUGGAAUUUCAUGUGUAGCGGUGAAAUGCGUAGAUAUAGGAAGGAACACCAGUGGCGAAGGCGACUACCUGGACUGAUACUGACACUGAGGUGCGAAAGCGUGGGGAGCAAACAGGAUUAGAAACCCGGGUAGUCC
rnacentral:rRNA from 1 species